rnacentral:rRNA from 1 species
UUCCUACGGGACGCAGCAGUGAGGAAUAUUGGUCAAUGGGCUUACGCCUGAACCAGCCAAGUCGCGUGAGGGAAGACUGCCCUAUGGGUUGUAAACCUCUUUUGUCAGGGAGCAAUUGGCGCUACGUGUAGCGUUAUCGAGAGUACCUGAAGAAAAAGCAUCGGCUAACUCCGUGCCAGCAGCCGCGGUAAUACGGAGGAUGCGAGCGUUAUCCGGAUUUAUUGGGUUUAAAGGGUGCGCAGGCGGAUUUUUAAGUCAGCGGUCAAAUCGUGGGGCUCAACCCCAUCCAGCCGUUGAAACUGGGG